AGAAGGAGAGAAAGAGAGAGAGAGAAGGAGACAGACAGACAGACAGACAGACACACACACACACACACACACACAGAGAGAGAGAGAGAGAGAGAGAAGGGGAAGGAAGGGGGGCGGGAGAGAGAAAGGAGAAGAAGAAGGAGAAAGAGAGAGAGAGAGAGAGAGAGAAAUUUCUUCUCCCUGGCCGUGCAGGUGAGAGGAGCUUUGUGAUCUAAAGGCUCCCGCGGGGAGCGCGUGCUUGCAGCUGCUGGCCCGUCACAAUGACAGAUGUCCUCGUUUGCCGCCACUAGCCCGCGCUUAGAGACGGGCUCGGGGGAGCGGGGGGGGGCUGCUCUUUCCAGAACCGGGAGCUGCCCUCGGUCCCGCUUCCUCCGCUCCUUCCCUCCUGAAGCACCUUCGCGCCGACCUGGUGCGCGGAGCUCUUGGAGCACCGAGGGGUGGGUGGGGCUCCUGCAGACGAUUUCCAGCGCAAACCAGGAAGAGCCGAGCGCAACGCGUGAAUGUAAACACGGGAGGGGAGGGGAGGGGAAGGGGAAGGGGGCCGAGACUUUCCCUUUACGGGGUAGGUAGGGGGAUUAAGGGUCGGGAGAAAUCCCAGUCCCCGGAAUGCGAAGUGGGCAGCUACCUUUUAAAAAAAUGGGGGGCGGGGGGAAGGAAGACUUUGGGGCAAGUGUGGGGCCCAUUCAGUCGAGCGGCAAGGAGGGAUCCUCAACAGAGCGAGGCAGGCUUCCUGGAUUAAGAGAAACCCUGCUCGCGAUGACGUGAAAAGGGCUCCCUCCUCUUGUAAAACUACAGAGUUCGGGAUUGCGUCACUGCCUCCCGGUAAAAGGCGGGAGACCAGAAAGAUCAAAUAGACAUUUGUUUUGUACUAAAGCACCAGUCCUGUGAAGUCUCCUCCGGAGCUCCUGCUUCUCUCCCUCAAGGCCCUUCCCUCUAAACCCCCUGAGCUGAACCACGAUCACAGGAGAUCUGCCCAUCAUAGAUUGGAAGGUCUACCAUAACUGGCGAUGUUGGCAACUGCAACUGCAGAUUUUAUUUCCCAAAACAACGGUUUCCUUCCCUGAGCUCCUCAAUGGAAUGGAAAUGUCUUAAUUGACAACUUGUUUCAAGAAAAGAGUUUCUCC